rnacentral:rRNA from 1 species
AGUGAAUAGAUACCCAGGUAGUCCUAGCCGUAAACGAUACUCGCUAGGUGUCGGCCACGGUGCGACCGUUGUCGGUGCCGUAGGGAAAGCCGUGAAGCGAGCCACCUGGGAAGUACGGCCGCAAGGCUGAAACUUAAAGGAAUUGGCGGGGGAGCACCACAACGGGUGGAGCUUGCGGUUUAAAUUGGAUUCAACGCCGGAAAUCUUACCGGGACCGACAGCAACAUGAAGGCCAGGCUGAAGACUUUGCCGGAUUAGCUGAGAGGUGGUGCAUGGCCGUCGUCAGUUCGUACUGUGAAGCAUCCUGUUAAGUCAGGCAACGAGCGAGACCCACGCCCACAGUUGCCAGCGUACUCUCCGGAGUGACGGGUACACUGUGGGGACCGGCCGCUGCUAAAGCGGAGGAAGGAAUGGGCAACGGUAGGUC